rnacentral:rRNA from 1 species
GUAGCAUAGUCAUUUGCUUCUUAAUUGGUAGCUGGAAUGAAUGGUUAAACUAAUUUACUUAGUUUGUAGGCUAAAUAGGAGGUUUAAGUGAAGGUAAGAAUUCCUUUAUUUUCUAGGGGACGAUAAGACCCUGGAAGCUUGAUUAGUUGAAAAUUUUUAAUGAUUACAUAAAGUUGGUUUAACUGGGGCGGUAGUAUUACGCAAACUAUUAUAAAAUUGAUAGAUCCUGUAACAUGCAGAUAAAGCGGAAUAGUUACUCCAGGGAUAACAGUACAAUAUGCUUGGAGAGAUCUUAUCGAUAAGUAGGUUUGUAACCUCGAUGUUGAAUUAAUGUGUCUGCGUGGUGCAGUAGGUGCGUAAGAAGGUUUGUUCAACCUUUAAAAUUUU